AUUGAACGCUGGCGGCAUGCCUUACACAUGCAAGUCGAACGGCAGCACGGGGCAACCUGGUGGCGAGUGGCGAACGGGUGAGUAAUGCAUCGGAACGUACCAUUCAGUGGGGGAUAACGUAGCGAAAGUUACGCUAAUACCGCAUAUUCUGUGAGCAGGAAAGUAGGGGAUCGCAAGACCUUGCGCUGAUUGAGCGGCCGAUUUCAGAUUAGCUAGUUGGUGAGGUAAAGGCUCACCAAGGCGACGAUCUGUAGCGGGUCUGGGAGGAUGAUCCGCCACACUGGAACUGAGACACGGUCCAGACUCCUACGGGAGGCAGCAGUGGGGAAUUUUGGACAAUGGGGGCAACCCUGAUCCAGCCAUGCCGCGUGAGUGAAGAAGGCCUUCGGGUUGUAAAGCUCUUUCGGCCGGGAAGAAAUCGCACGGGCUAAUACCCUGUGUGGAUGACGGUACCGGAAUAAGAAGCACCGGCUAACUACGUGCCAGCCGCCGCUGUAAAAC
rnacentral:rRNA from 1 species